UACAGAGGGUGCGAGCGUUAAUCGGAAUUACUGGGCGUAAAGCGCGCGUAGGCGGCUUUGCAAGUCGGGUGUGAAAUCCCCAGGCUUAACCUGGGAACUGCAUUCGAGACUGCAUUGCUAGAGUAUGGGAGAGGGAAGUGGAAUUUCCGGUGUAGCGGUGAAAUGCGUAGAUAUCGGAAGGAACAUCAGUGGCGAAAGCGACCUCCUGGACCAAUACUGACGCUCAUGUGCGAAAGCGUGGGGAGCAAACAGG
rnacentral:rRNA from 1 species